CCAGUCCCACCGGUCCGACCAAGUUUGGCUGGUUUGGUACGAGUGAUUCCGAAACCACUCAUCCGGCUGCGUGAGUCCUGUUAGCUUUUCAGCGUAGUGCGAUCGAAUCUGCGUGUCGACGAUGAGCAGUACUGUUGAUGUUCAGGAGCCUAUUCUCAGAAGGCACUUGCAGGACUUAAAGCAUGAAGAUGGCAUUUGGUCUGGAUACCUAAAAUCGGAAGAAGAGCUGAAACAACUGGAACGAUCGCUGGCUGCUGCCAACCUGAAAUUUGCUGUUCGUUCAUCACGCAGAAAGGCGGGUAAAGUUGUGUUCAGCACAGUAAACGGCGGUGUUCCAAUUCAUUUGGACCUUGUGCCCUUCCGAGUGCUUGGGGAUGUAACAAAACAGUGCAUCUUUGGAGAAGAGUACUACAAAAAGUCUGAU